CAGAUGGGAGCUUGCUCCCUGAUGUUAGCGGCGGACGGGUGAGUAACACGUGGGUAACCUGCCUGUAAGACUGGGAUAACUCCGGGAAACCGGGGCUAAUACCGGAUGGUUGUUUGAACCGCAUGGUUCAAACAUAAAAGGUGGCUUUGGCUACCACUUACAGAUGGACCCGCGGCGCAUUAGCUAGUUGGUGAGGUAACGGCUCACCAAGGCAACGAUGCGUAGCCGACCUGAGAGGGUGAUCGGCCACACUGGGACUGAGACACGGCCCAGACUCCUACGGGAGGCAGCAGUAGGGAAUCUUCCGCAAUGGACGAAAGUCUGACGGAGCAACGCCGCGUGAGUGAUGAAGGUUUUCGGAUCGUAAAGCUCUGUUGUUAGGGAAGAACAAGUACCGUUCGAAUAGGGCGGUACCUUGACGGUACCUAACCAGAAAGCCACGGCUAACUACGUGCCAGCAGCCGCGGUAAUACGUAGGUGGCAAGCGUUGUCCGGAAUUAUUGGGCGUAAAGGGCUCGCAGGCGGUUUCUUAAGUCUGAUGUGAAAGCCCCCGGCUCAACCGGGGAGGGUCAUUGGAAACUGGGGAACUUGAGUGCAGAAGAGGAGAGUGGAAUUCCACGUGUAGCGGUGAAAUGCGUAGAGAUGUGGAGGAACACCAGUGGCGAAGGCGACUCUCUGGUCUGUAACUGACGCUGAGGAGCGAAAGCGUGGGGAGCGAACAGGAUUAGAUACCCUGGUAGUCCACGCCGUAAACGAUGAGUGCUAAGUGUUAGGGGGUUUCCGCCCCUUAGUGCUGCAGCUAACGCAUUAA
rnacentral:rRNA from 1 species